GGGAGGGAAACACGUUCCUUCAAAGGCGGCUCCCCCGGGGUGCCGCCGGCGGCCGCGGAAGCGGGGGUCCCGGGCUCCCGAGCGCCUGCGAGGCGGGGACCUGACCGCGAGAGGCGGACCUGCCGCCGCUGCACGCCCUCGUCCUCACCCGCCUCCUCCUCCAGGGACCCAGAGCUGAAAGGAGGCGAAAGCGCCGAAACGGGCGCACCAGCUCCUCUGCAGGCACGGUCCUCUCCCCAAGCCCGCCACACAACACCGUGCACGGCACCCCUUCCACGAGGCCCCUAGAACCCGGCGUCUUCGCAGUUCCAAGAUGCUCCGACAUCAGCUACCCACACUUAUUUUUGUAGAACCUGCCCUUUCGCACAAAACCCUCUCCAGGUCUGACGUUUCCGAGCGUCCGGGCUGGGGAGCGGGACUUGCUGCCGAACUCCGGAGUCGGCCGUGAGGGACGGGCGGGCGGGCGGGUGGGCAGGGUCCCGGGCCCGACCCGGCCGGCCCCUCGGAGCCGGGACAGCGGCUCGCAAGGACGCGUCCCGCCGCCGCCUCGCCAGCGGGAGGGCACCUUCCCAGCGCCGGCUUCGCGGAGGCCGAGCGACAGCCUCCUCCUUAUUGGGAAGGGAGAGCAGCAGCAGCAGCCGCGCCCGCUCCGCCGAGGCCCGACGCCGGCCGAGACGGCCAGGCAUCCGCGCGACCCCGCGCCCGUCCGUGGGUCUGGCCCGGGUCCCCUCACCAGUUCCGCGCACGAGGAGGGGCCGGCAACGGGCCGGAGCGGGCAGCGGCGCCCGGGCCUCGUGUCACUCACCGUUUGAAAUGCUCGAUGAUCUUCUCUUCCCGCACAUUCUCCGAGAGAGAGGAAGGAAGACGGAUAGAGAGAUAGAAACAUCCAUGAGAAACAUCAUCAAUUGGCUGCUUCCUGCAUGGCCUCUACUGGGGGCAGAGCCGGAAACCAGGCAUGUGCCCUGAUGGGAAUUGGAUGAGCGACCUCCAGGUUUAUGGGUCAACGCUGAAAACCACUGGGCCACACUGGCCCGGGCAGUAAUGCUUAUUCAAAUCACAUAACUGUCUCAAUAUUUGACAUUAAUCUUCAGGAUAUGCAUGAUUGCUAAUUUUAUGUAAUAUUCCAUAAUUAGACACUUGAACUCUUUGGCUUAAAAUAAAGACACAUCCUAUUUAAAGACUAUGAUGGAUUUCUGAAUUAAAUACCGGAAUUAUUUUUAAGGCUUUAGACAGUUAAAAUCAGUAUUUUGAUAGAGGAGAUAGAGUUUUUUGAGGUCAUAUAUUACAAAGGGUUGGGGAUAUCCCUUACACUAUUUGGAAAAUAUUUUCACUGAAAAGAUGGACUGUCACAAGAUAACUCUCUAUAAAGAUGCUGGAUUAACUUAAAAUGGUUUUUCUAAGAAAACAGAACCACCAAAAGUGAUAACUAAAGAUUCACUGUAUAAUGUUAGCUGGUGAGAGGGGCAUGGUGAGAUGGAUUUCUAUUUUCCCCACCCCCACAAGAUAAACACACUCAAACCUUUUACUUUAAAAAAAAUCACCUGAAAAAGUGGCUUUAGGCCAGGACACUUCUGUCCUUCAUAAUUUUCAACUUUGUUUCCCUCAAGAUCAGUUUCCAGAGAGUCUAUUAGCACAUAAGAACUCCGAUUUUAUAUCUAUUCAAAAUUAUAAAACGUACAUACUCUAUAUUUUCUUUCCCUUAUCUAGUAGUGUUAUCCUUGCUGUUGGAACUUUGACUUUAAAGACUCUCAUUCACCAUAAUUUGUUAAGACAAUCUCUAACAGAAAUUCUGUCAACUCCAGGGACAGUUGAUAUGGUCAUUUCCAAGCUUCAAAUUAUAGUCCUGUUGCGGGGGAGGGGGGAGAAAUGGCUUACUUGUACUUCAACGACCUCCAGAUAACUUUUAUGUACUGAGCGUUCCUGUUGACUCUAGCACCAACUCGAAAUUCCCACCAGGAAGAAAAAUCUCCCUUCCUUAGGAGUGGCUCCACCCAGGGUGAUAACCUGGGCUGACCUAGAUUCCCCUGGGGGAGCCGGGACGGUGCUUGCCACCUAGGGACAGGUGAGCACCGCCAAACAACUUCAGGGACAAAAAUUCGGCUCCCGAUUAUCAAAUUGCAACUGCCACCACGUAAGUCUUUAGGAACCCCCAAGGUGCUUUCUUUGCAAACUGGCUCCCUCUUUUAAACCCUACUUCCACGAGGAUCUGAAGGUAAGCUACAGGCUAACUAACGUAGGACAGCAGUCACUCCGGAGCGAGGAAGGAACUUAACAAAGAAGGGUGGCUCAGGCGUGGCUCAGUGGUUGAGCAUCGACCUAUGAACCAGGAGGGCAUGGUUCCAUUCCACGCCAAGGCACAGGCCAGAGUUUGGUGCUGG